rnacentral:rRNA from 1 species
UACGUAGGGGGCUAGCGUUGUCCGGAAUCAUUGGGCGUAAAGCGCGCGUAGGCGGCCCGGUAAGUCCGCUCUGAAAGUCCAGGGCUCAACCCUGGAAAGCGGGUGGAUACUGCCGGGCUAGAAUCCGGAAGAGGCGAGUGGAAUUCCUGGUGUAGCGGUGGAAUGCGCAGAUAUCAGGAGGAACACCGAUGGCGAAGGCAGGUCUCUGGGCAUUAACUGACACUGAGGAGCGAAAGCAUGGGGAGCGAACAGG